rnacentral:lncRNA from 1 species
AAAUCCCUCCUUAAGAAAGGAAUACCUGAGGGGGACCCUGUAUUAAGAAAAGAAAAAGAAGAGAACAUCUGGAAUUCAAGGGCAGACAGAGCUAGGCAGCAGCCAUCAGCAGGGCCAGGAUACUGAGCAGUGUUGUCACCUGAAGAUUCCAGGAAUGAAGCUGUCUCCAUUCUGCGUUGUUCAAAUUGUGCAUCUUCUGGAAAGAUGGUGUGUCAUCUGGAGCUUGAAUAAGGCCUGUGUGAAGACAUUGAGGGGUAGAGAAACACAGGUUGCAUGCCUGCAAAGUGAAAAGUCCCUUGUCUAAUAAAAUAGAAGCUUAACUGAGUGUUAUUAAUACGUAACAUAUUAAUGUGAAUGUUGUUCAUUUGGGAAGAAUACAGGAGUCUAAGAUGGAAAUUGUGCAAUAAUUCUGAAUAUUGAUAAAGCUAUCCAAAACAUUGCUAGAGAUCUCAUUUACUUCUGAUAGUGAAUUAGCUAGAGAGCAAUGCCUGGCCUGAAGGCCAUCUUGGGAUAAAUCUCUAAGAGGAGUCAGAAGGUCUAGAAGAGGGUAAUUGGCAGCCAAACCCUUAGGAAGACUGAGGGACUGAACUAUGGGAAAUUGAUGCCCCUACUACACGAUCUCUACCUCAGACAGCAGAACCCCAGCCAACAGCAAAGCAUACAGUAAUUCCAGCCUGUACCCCACCAGGUAACUGUGUUCUUUUUCCUGAACCUUUGGGUAGAGAUGUUGACAAAGUUGGUGUGGUUGUGGGCACGUGCUCUGGAAAAAGACCACUGACAUUGUCAGCAGCAGUAGAGAUGGGGGCGCAGCGCCGCUGGAUCCCCCACCACCAUCACGUUCCCCUCAAUUGCUUCCAUUCAGGCAGGACUGGAUUCGUUGCUUCUUCAAAGAAAACAGUUUCUGAGAGAGCCUAGAUGAAGCAUCGCUGGAAUUUUGUUAGGACAUUUUCGACAUAGACGUUAAAUAUAGGAUGUGUUAGUCCCUCGGGGAAAGGACAGGACAUAUCUCAGUGUGAGUACGGGUUUGUCCGGGGGAUUUGCAAUUAGCUUUCAUCACCGUGGCUAUAUAUGUGAUUUUGGUGGUUGUCAAAGAAUGGCUCCACUUUUAAAAAUAUUGCUCAGAGAUGUAGUUUACAGCAAGGUUACAAGUUAAAGAAUGUUCUUCUCUAAACACAGUUUUAAGGUUUAUUUAUGGCAGGUUUUUGUUUAGAUUCAGAAAUUGGAGAGGAAUUCUGAGAACUGAAGGAUAUGAAUCACUUGGCCCUACGUCUGCACAGUUUGAUUGUUACCUCAGCCCUCUCUGAGGUGCCUGUAGAAGAACAUGGACUGCCUUAAUAUGUAAUUUUGGUCUUAUCAGUGAUGUCUGCAGUCUCCUGAUCUGUUAGCAGGCAGGCGAGCCAGACCCCUGGGAGCAUGUGACAUGUGCUGUUUCCAAGUUUCAUGCCUCCCUUCCAAGGCUCCAUGACUAUUACUAUCUUUCUGUCUUGCUUCAAUUUCUACCACUAUUGACACGUGACUGACUUCUACAAAUACCUACUUUUUAAAAAUCUGCUUCAUUAUUUAUAAAAUGGAUGUAAAACCAUUGAUUUGAUAGAAUGCUUAUGAAUAUCAAAUGAGACGAAGAAGGGUUUGUGCCACAGUUACAAAGGGUGUAAGUGAUCAAGUGAUGUGUUAAACACCUACUUCUAUUCUAGAGCCUGGACUCCGGGGACUGGCACAGGUGGUGCCUAUGGAUUGGGAACAUCUCCAUUCAUUUAGUCUUUUGAUA